rnacentral:rRNA from 1 species
UACCUUUUGUAUAAUGGGUCAGCGACUUAUAUUCUGUAGCAAGGUUAACCGAAUAGGGGAGCCGAAGGGAAACCGAGUCUUAACUGGGCGUUAAGUUGCAGGGUAUAGACCCGAAACCCGGUGAUCUAGCCAUGGGCAGGUUGAAGGUUGGGUAACACUAACUGGAGGACCGAACCGACUAAUGUUGAAAAAUUAGCGGAUGACUUGUGGCUGGGGGUGAAAGGCCAAUCAAACCGGGAGAUAGCUGGUUCUCCCCGAAAGCUAUUUAGGUAGCGCCUCGUGAAUUCAUCUCCGGGGGUAGAGCACUGUUUCGGCAAGGGGGUCAUCCCGACUUACCAACCCGAUGCAAACUGCGAAUACCGGAGAAUGUUAUCACGGGAGACACACGGCGGGUGCUAACGUCCGUCGUGAAGAGGGAAACAACCCAGACCGCCAGCUAAGGUCCCAAAGUCAUGGUUAAGUGGGAAACGAUGUGGGAAGGCCCAGACAGCCAGGAUGUUGGCUUAGAAGCAGCCAUCAUUUAAAGAAAGCGUAAUAGCUCACUGGUCGAGUCGGCCUGCGCGGAAGAUGUAACGGGGCUAAACCAUGCACCGAAGCUGCGGCAGCGACGCUGAUGCGUUGUUGGGUAGGGGAGCGUUCUGUAAGCCUGUGAAGGUGUGCUGUGAGGCAUGCUGGAGGUAUCAGAAGUGCGAAUGCUGACAUAAGUAACGAUAAAGCGGGUGAAAAGCCCGCUCGCCGGAAGACCAAGGGUUCCUGUCCAACGUUAAUCGGGGCAGGGUGAGUCGACCCCUAAGGCGAGGCCGAAAGGCGUAGUCGAUGGGAAACAGGUUAAUAUUCCUGUACUUGGUGUUACUG